AAGCCCAUGCUUAGGACAUUUCUUCAGAUAAAGUUUGAAUCUUUCCCAUGCAUCAUAUAGAGUUUCAGAAUCUCCUUGUUCAAAGCUUGUUAUGUCUUGCCUUCUU